CAAUAGCGUAUAUUAAAGUUGUUGCGGUAAAAAAGCUCGUAGUUGGAUUUCUACCGAAGAUAGCCGGUCGGGUCUUCGACCUUGUAUCUGGUUUUGUCUUUGGUAUCCUCAUGGGGAACGUUGCUGCGCUUCACUGCGUGGUGCGGUAUCCAUGACUUUUACUUUGAGGAAAUUAGAGUGUUCACGGCAGGCAAACGCCCUGAAUAUAUUAGCAUGGAAUAAUAACAUAGGAUCUUCGUCCUAUUUUGUUGGUUUCUAGGGCUAAGAUAAUGAUUAAUUAGGGAGUAAUUAGGGGGUCGGAUCUGUAUCAACGACGUCAGAGGU
rnacentral:rRNA from 1 species